rnacentral:tRNA from 1 species
GGCGAGGUAGCUCAGUUGGUAGAGCACACGACUGAAAAUCGUGGUGUCGUGGGUUCGAUUCCCACCCUCGCCA